rnacentral:rRNA from 1 species
GACGAACGCUGGCGGCGUGCCUAAUACAUGCAAGUAGAACGCUGAAGGAGGAGCUUGCUUCUCUGGAUGAGUUGCGAACGGGUGAGUAACGCGUAGGUAACCUGCCUGGUAGCGGGGGAUAACUAUUGGAAACGAUAGCUAAUACCGCAUAAGAGUAGAUGUUGCAUGACAUUUGCUUAAAAGGUGCAAUUGCAUCACUACCAGAUGGACCUGCGUUGUAUUAGCUAGUUGGUGGGGUAACGGCUUACCAAGGCGACGAUACAUAGCCGACCUGAGAGGGUGAUCGGCCACACUGGGACUGAGACACGGCCCAGAGUCCUACGGGAGGCAGCAGUAGGGAAUCUUCGGCAAUGGACGGAAGUCUGACCGAGCAACGCCGCGUGAGUGAAGAAGGUUUUCGGAUCGUAAAGCUCUGUUGUAAGAGAAGAACGAGUGUGAGAGUGGAAAGUUCACACUGUGACGGUAUCUUAACAGAAAGGGACGGCUAACUACGUG